rnacentral:rRNA from 1 species
UACGUAGGGUGCAAGCGUUGUCCGGAAUUAUUGGGCGUAAAGAGCUCGUAGGCGGUUUGUCGCGUCGAAUGUGAAAACCCGGGGCUCAACCCCGGGCCUGCAUUCGAUACGGGCAGACUAGAGUUCGGUAGGGGAGUCUGGAAUUCCUGGUGUAGCGGUGAAAUGCGCAGAUAUCUUGAGGAACACCGGUGGCGAAGGCGGGUCUCUGGGCCGAUACUGACGCUGAGGAGCGAAAGCGUGGGGAGCGAACAGG